GCCUAAGGUGGGGCCAAGACUGAUUCGUAGUCAGUAGGUCGCGGGUUCAACUCCCGCCCCCGGCUCCA
rnacentral:tRNA from 1 species